rnacentral:lncRNA from 1 species
CAUAAGAAAAUCAAUGAAAAGUCACGUUAAGAAAAGUCAAUAGUAUAUGUUGCUCCUGAAAUGAACUGGAAACGUUGGUUUGAGCUUCAUGUCCACUGAACCCGAACCAAUUGCAGUGAUGAGUCUAAAUUUUAUAGUUCCUAAAAAGAUUUUACAUAUUAGUUUUGUGUAUUUUCCCUCUCUUUCUCCUUAAGCACUCCAGAAUGAUUUCAAGAUUUCAAUUCUUGUCCAAACAGGAUACAAAAGACUCCAUCUUACCAGUUAUUCAGAAGUAUAUGAAAAACUUCCUUAAUGACUACACGCUGAUAAAUAUACAAGGUGAGACGUGGACGCAUGAGAUCAAAAAUAUGGUGACGAUCGUAUGUGACGACAAUGUGAGCUAUUGCAGCGUUCUGAGCCAGGCUUUGACCGAUUGCAAUAAACCAGCAACUUACGUCGUUUCAAGCAAAAGCGGCUGUACAAGAAACGAGUCUGUCAUUGGUGUGAAAGAGUCGAUAACAAACUAUCUACCUUCUUCUUUGCAAGAAUUAGAGGAAAUGGGAGAAUUUUUAUGUCACUGGGACUCCAGAUUGAGCCCACAGGUUCCUGCUACAUUCAUACAGACUACAUCGUUAGCGACUAAUAUGCCAUGCAAGCACGGAGACGUCCUUCCUGUGUUUAUCAUCCCAGCUUUUUGCGAAACGCAGCUGAGACCUCUACUUUCCAAAUUCAUGUACCCCUGCUACACUGCUCACACACAUUCCGAAGCAAAUUCAGCACGACAAAUUGCGGAGCAUCUAUUCUCGUCUAUGACGAGAGUCCAAACGAAAGGACCUUACACGAUAGUAGCAGAAACGUGGAGUGGAGGGGUAGCGAUGCUUCUCGCAAAUCUUCUGACUGAUGCCAACCAUGAAGUAUCCCUCUUUUUACUACAAGGAUUUCCGAGAAAGAUGUAUUCUCUGUUACCUCAAGAAAAAUGUAUAGCUGAUUGCCUGUUGGAGGUUUUGUUGGAACUAAUUGAAAAAGAGGAUCCGAGCAAAAUGAUGGAUCUCAAUGGUACCAAAGGGUUCAAAACAGCAAUGCAACUGAUUUCGAAUAAAUUCAACAGAAGUUUUGUCUCGCGGGCGUUCCAUACUAUUGAAAGGAAUUUAGAACUCGUGAAGAGUCUCACGAAUCGGAAGAUUUCUUUACAGAGUGCUUUAGUUCUUAUGGAAGUAAGCCAGACCUGCAAGCUGACAUCUGAUGAAGUUGAAGAGGUAUGUUUGUAG